UCCGAGUUGACCCCGGCAGUCUUCGAUGAGUCCCCGGCCGAACCGCUGGCAACAUCGAACAAGGGUUGCGCUCGUUGCGGGACUUAACCCAACAUCUCACGACACGAGCUGACGACAGCCAUGCACCACCUGUGAACGCCCCCGAAGGACACCAUAUCUCUAUGGUUUUAGCGCACAUGUCAAACCCAGGUAAGGUUCUUCGCGUUGCAUCGAAUUAAUCCGCAUGCUCCGCCGCUUGUGCGGGCCCCCGUCAAUUCCUUUGAGGUUUAGCCUUGCGGCCGUACUCCCCAGGCGGAACACUUAAUGCGUUAGCUACGGCACAGCCGGGGUCGAUUCCUUUUACAGCAAAUACGCACCGUUUACGGCUAGGACUAC
rnacentral:misc_RNA from 1 species